rnacentral:rRNA from 1 species
UACGUAGGGGGCAAGCGUUGUCCGGAAUCAUUGGGCGUAAAGCGCGUGUAGGCGGCUCGAUAAGUCUGCUGUGAAAGUCCAGGGCUCAACCCUGGGAUGCCGGUGGAUACUGUCGAGCUCGAGUCCGGAAGAGGCGAGUGGAAUUCCUGGUGUAGCGGUGAAAUGCGCAGAUAUCGGGAGGAACACCAAUGGCGAAGGCAGCUCGCUGGGACGGUACUGACGCUGAGGCGCGAAAGCGUGGGGAGCAAACAGG